GGGAGUGUGGCUCAGUGGUAGAGUGCUCACCUAGCAUGGGCAGUACCUGGGUUCGAUCUUCAGCACUACAU
rnacentral:tRNA from 1 species